CCCAACCUCGGAAUUUUGAAAAAAUUUUCAUUUUUUUUUUGAGGUUUUCAAUGAAAAUUUUUUCAAAAUUCCGAGGUUGGAAAAAAAAAAUG